rnacentral:rRNA from 1 species
GUGAGAUGUUGGGUUAWGUCCCGCAACGAGCGCAACCCUUGUCCYUAGUUACCAGCGGGUUAAGCCGGGAACUCUAAGGAUACUGCCAGUGACAAACUGGAGGAAGGCGGGGACGACGUCAAGUCAUCAUGGCCCUUACGACCAGGGCUACACACGUGCUACAAUGGUAGGUACAGAGGGCAGCUACACAGCGAUGUGAUGCGAAUCUCAAAAAGCCUAUCGUAGUCCAGAUUGGAGUCUGCAACUCGACUCCAUGAAGUAGGAAUCGCUAGUAAUCGCGGAUCAGAAUGCCGCGGUGAAUACGUUCCCGGGCCUUGUACACACCGCCCGUCACACCAUGGGAGUUGAUUGCACCAGAAGUGGAUAGCCUAACC